rnacentral:rRNA from 1 species
CCUACGGGAGGCAGCAGUAAGGAAUAUUGGUCAAUGGAGGCAACUCUGAACCAGCCAUGCCGCGUGCAGGAUGAAGGCCCUAUGGGUCGUAAACUGCUUUUACACAAGAGAAAACCCGAGUACGUGUACUCGGUUGAUAGUAUUGUGAGAAUAAGCAUCGGCUAACUUCGUGCCAGCAGCCGCGGUAAGACGAAGGAUGCAAGCGUUAUCCGGAUUCAUUGGGUUUAAAGGGUGCGUAGGCGGACCUGUAAGUCAGUGGUGAAAUCUCUUUGCUUAACAAAGAAACUGCCAUUGAUACUGCAAGUCUAGAGUAUAGAUGACGUUGGCGGAAUAUGACAUGUAGUGGUGAAAUACUUAGAUAUGUCAUAGAACACCGAUUGCGAAGGCAGCUAACGAAACUAUAACUGACGCUGAGGCACGAAAGUGCGGGGAUCAAACAGGAUUAGAUACCCUGGUAGUCCGCACCGUAAACGAUGAUUACUCGUUGUUGGCAAUAUGACCGUCAGCGACCAAGCGAAAGCGAUAAGUAAUCCACCUGGGAGUACGCGGCACGUGAACGUCAAAGGAAUUGACGGCUUGNGAGNGCGAGGCGACGACGAGGGAGGAGG